CGCAGGGGGGCGGCGGAGCGGAGCGCGGAGGCGGAGGGGGGGAUAAGGGGGCGGGGGGGGGGGGGGGUGAGCAUCGCGGAACAAAGGGGCUCUGCCGGCGGCGGGGCUGGAGGGGAGCGCCCGAGGGUAUGUGUGUGUGUCUGUGGCUCUGUCCGUGUGUCUCUCUCCGUGCAUGUGUCUCUGCGGGGCCGGGAUCGCCCGGUCCAAGCCCUCCGCCGGCAGCGCCGCGCAGAGCCUCUGGAGUUCGCCGUGUUUCGGAUGGCGUAUGGAUGACGGGAAGUGAAUUCCCCGCCGGCCGGGGACGUGCGGGCUCCCCGCGCCACGCCGCGCACCACUGCUCGCCCGCUUGGAUGCUGCAGGUCCGGCCACACCGAGCUGACGGCACCGCCGCAUCUGCGGGGCAAAACGCGCCCUUAGCUGCGAUAAAUAAAAGGGUCUCUCUGUGUUUUAAUUAAUUUAUUAAUCAAUUAAGGUACUGAAAACACGCAGUGUCGUCCUCACUGAGCUAGUGUCAAGACUGCACAAGGUGUUCCUCCUUGUAAUUUACGUUUGUUUCCUUGUAGUAGUAGGACAGAAAGCAUGCUAAGGAAGCUCAGAGUAAACGGGUUCCAUUAUACCUGAAGAUACUCAGACCAAAUCUCCCCCUCUGAUAACCUGUAUUGGGCAUAUGUGAAAGAAAUUUGAAACAAAACACAGAAAAAAAAAAAAAAAAGAGAGAGAGAGAGAGAAAAGGGUGAAAUAAGCCAAAUAUAUACCGAAGCCUGAGAAUUAUCUCUUUUCUAUAUUUUAACAAUAUGCGUAACUUCAAUAUGUAUUUGCUCCUGUGUAAGUUCCCAUAAAAAAGGGAACACUCAGUGCUGGUCAAACUCUCUCAGUAGCCUCUAAACUGUUCCCAUCAGAAAUAUUUGAACUGAUGGGGAGAAAAGGUUUAAAAAUGUUGGAGUGUAAUUCCUAAUUUAGGAAAACUUAUAAUGGUGAUCAAUCACACAUAUCAAACCACAUGAAAUGAAAUGUUGCAUAAAAUAAAGGAUACUUCCUGUAGUUUUACUGUUGUUUCUUUUUUCUAAGUCAAAUGUUCAGUACACUGUAUCCUACAAAUUAAUCCAUUCAUUUGAAAUUAGUCAGUCAACAUGUUGGUACGGAGCUUUCAGUGACUUGGUUAUUCUUCUUCCAUAUGAAAGAUUGGGGGUUUUGAUUUGGUGAUGCAAAAAGACAAUCCUGUGGCAAUUAAUAAAGGCUGAUUUAUGGUCUUGUCACUCAGCACUGAGACAGUAAUACAGGGCUUCUUUUUCUGACAAAUAAUCAGGAUAGGUUUCCUUUUCAGCUACAGAUUCUUUUUGUAACCUAUGGUUGCUCUUAUUUUGUUUAGCUUUAUUAAAUUGACUGGCUUUACAGAAAGCAGUUAGUGUUUUCAGUUGCCCUUUCUAUGCAGUUUUUAUAGAAUAGAAUUCUUCACUUCCAACAAAGGUGUUUCCCCCCUGAAUGGGUUCCCUUAAAUAAUCACUUUGAUUCUUGUAAUCCUAAUGUUGCUUCACAGACUUACCACAUUUCAUCAGGAAAAAUGAGAAGGGGAAAAAAAAACAAAACACCCCAAAACCACCAACACAACCAAACAACAAAGCAAAAUAACAACAAACACUUAGUGAAUACCAUUCCUGUUGCAACACUAUGAUUGUUUUAAAUCAGAGGUUUAAAUCAGAGGUUUGAAACCAGUCCAAGUUGAAACUUUCUCCUAACACCACUGACUAUUUGGAAAGAUGGUCACCUCACCUUAUUUUUUUGUGGACAGUGUGUGUAUCAGAGAAGCCUCUUUUAGAAAUCAGUUCAUGAAAGGAAAAGACAAAGACUGUGUAGGUAAGUGUAUUCUAUUUCCUAUUUAUUCUAGCAGAAAGUCCAUUAAAAUACUACUGAGAAGUGCUAACCAGGAAGCUCAUACUUUCACAGCCUGUGCCUUGAAUUUAGUGCCUUGAAACUGUCUUCAGUAUUAAUUCCUUAUUUUGUAUGAAGAAACUAAAUUCUGGUACAUAAAGUGUACCUAAAUAAUCAGCUCCUCUGAAGUCAAAAUCUUUCCUGUGACAUCACAAUUGCCUUUGAAGAGAUUGGUGUGAUGUGACAGGGAGGAUUAUGACUUCAAGUAGGAAUUAAGUAGUAGGGACUCAAAUGAGACAAAAAUCCUAUUUUCAAGCAAAGAAAAUAAAUCCUAGUAAUUGUAGGAAAAGAAGAAAAUGGUACUGAAGAAUGUAACAAUGAGUAUGAACUGUUUCUUAAUUCUUCACAAAGUCAGGAAGAACAAAGAACUCUCUAAGGAUUAAAGAAGAUAACAGUUAUGAAGCAUAAGCUUAUAUUAGCACAUUCAUUUUUUUUCUUUAACAUUUUUAGAAGCAUUUAGAAUAUUUGAAAUGAGGAAUUUGCUUUACAGUCUGAAUCACAUACACCUCUUCUUCGUAAUUCCUUUAGUAUUAAGCUAGUAGUCUUUCCUUUUGAGACAAGAACAGUGCAAAUAUUUAAUGCCACCUUGUAAUUCAAGUUUCAGCAUGAACUUUUACUUUUUUUCAUUUCUCUCUAGUCUUGAAGUUAAUUUCACAAUUCUUUUAUACUUAUGCUAAUAUUUUUUGUAUAUUCAAUACAAAACAUAGAAAAUCAAGCAGAGAUAACUGUAUUCUCAGUUUGUGCUAUUCCCCCCUCUAGGAUAAGUAUAGAUAGUAUAGAUAAAAGGCAUGUUUAUGUACUAUUUGGUCAAUAAAAGCAAAGAGGUUUUUUCCUGAUUUAUAGGAACCAAAAUUACUUAUUAAUAUUCAAAAUACUGAUAUUUCUUCCAAGAUGCACUCUGGUUAUUACUAAAAGAAGAUUCUACAUAUUCCUUCUUUACUUCAUGUAUUGCUGGUUGAUAGGUCUAAGUGCUUCUCAUUCUGAACAAAAGAGGCUUGGGCUUUUGGUGUUUAUGUCUUUGUUUUGAUUUUUUUUUGGUCAGUUUUUGUUGUUGUUUGGUUUUGGUUGGUUGGUUGGUUGGUUUUGUUUUGUUUGUUUAUUCAAUUAAGGAACAUUCCUGAGAUACCUAUGUAGAGAAAAACUGAUAUAAUGAUAGCUAGAGUGCUGAUCACUUAGUCCCACUGAAAAAAUGGAUCACAAGAUUAUCUUUCUCAAGCAGAAGAAAAUAAUUCAUUUUAAAACAGAAGUAAAAAAAAUGCUUUGGUCGAACAUCCAAUUAAUAUAAAUAUAUAUAUUUAUAUAGUUUCCUUGCCUUCAUUUGUCUCAUCUAAAUCUAGCUGGUUUUUGUACUGUGGGCUAGACAGGAGGCUUUUGAUAUGGGCAUAAUUUUUCAAAGACAAAAAGCCAUAUUUCUGGUAGUUUGCUAAAAUAGACACAGGUCACUCUGCAGUGCAUGUGCUUAUUGUCCUUCUUUCUAUAUGGAGAAAUGGGUUGCUGUGGACCUGAAAAGUUACCUCUCACUGGUCAAGUAUUAAGAUAUACUUUGGAAUAGAAAAUUUCUUCUAAAUUCCAAAGUCAAGCUGAGAGUUAGUAUAGCCCACAUUAAUCUUAAAAGAACAAAAACAAAAGCAAAACAACAACAAGAACAAAAAACUUAUUUCUCCAGAAAAUAUUUUUAAUGCAUUUAUUACAGACUUCUUGGAUGGAAGAGAAAGGCAGAGCUAUCGGCAUUGUGGUUUCUCUUUUGCUUAAGGUGAAGUUAAGUGACUACUUGGAAUGAUCUCAAGACCUUACAGAUUACAAGAGUGUCUGACUUGAUUUCAAAGAUUUUUUGCUUAAUCCUCUCUAAACCAACAAUUAGCAAUUUACUAAUUGUAUAUGUUUUUCUUGAUGUACAGGGUAUUAUAUAAAAGAUUAAUUCUAUUAAAUUAUGUAUUAGUCAUAUUAAGCACUGGAAAUUCCUCUGGAAAUUAGUGAUAUUUUUCCCACUAGUGAAAUGGUAAAUAGACAUUUUAAAACUUUACAUAAAUACAUAUUUCUUAUUUUAAAUUCAUAAUUUCUCUCACAUACUAUCUUCAAAGGAAUAGUUGUUUCAGCUAUAUAAUGAGGACCAAUUUCUACCAAUUUAGCUUUAAGCACCUGUGAUACCUAAUUCACUCUAUCUUCGUAAUUUGACGGUCUGGAGGAACAACUCCUGAGAGUAAUUUAUCCUAUUUACAGUCUGAGUAUAUACAGGAAGUUAUCCAUUGACUAUAAAAGGCAGACUUCAAUGAUUGUGGUCCUUAACUUAGGAGUCUUAGUAAGGUACUUUAAGUUAGGGUAAGCCUAACAAUGACAGCCGGAGCUGGUCUGCUAAGUCAAUGGAAAAAUGAUCCUGGACUUUAAAUGUCCAGUGAAUUAAUGCAGAAAACUAAUUACCCCUUGAGUUCAUACUUCUGGCUGCAUCGAAGCACUUUGGGAAGUAUUUGAAAAGCAUUUCCUUACCAAGUUUAUUUUGUCCCCAAAGCUAAAUUUCUAAUCGUGCAGAAUCUCUAGUAUCAUCAGAUAUCUUUCACUUCCCAAGCACUUAAAAAGAAAGAAACAAACACAAACAUAAAACAAGUAAGAAGCCCUCUUGGAAGAAUGUAUACAUGGAUUAGAAACAUUAUCUCUUCAUACGAAGUGAGAGGUACUGAUUAAGCACUUGGUUCUGACAAAUCUAUGCAUCAGUUCAUAACAAUGUUCUCUUUUAAAGUUGCAGGGUUUGGUACUUUUAUUUGCCCUGUUUCUGUGUUCAGAUUCUCUAAAAUAUGUCUCAUAAUUUGCUUGAGCCAUUGUGUAAAAUAUAUGUCAGACAUGAUUUAACAUCUACGCUGUGUCUCAAAGAGCAAUGCAUACAGGAGCCAUGAUGCAGCAGAGAGAAAAUAUCUGCAGAAUUCAUAGUCUAUAAAUCAGUCAUGACCAUUCCUUCAUGUGUUCCUUCUAUAUUUAGAAGAAAGCUUGGCUAAACUGAACAAAAUAGUUUGAAACAUAAUAAAUAAAUAAAUAAAUAAAUAAAUAAAUAAAUAAGGAGUUUAGUUAAGGCUCUGAAUCAUAUAUUGGACCUUAGGUUCUCCAGCUUUAAAGCACUGAACAAGGUAAAUAAGAAGGGAAUCUCAAUCUCAGCAGGAAAGGAACUUGUCUGGAAAUAUGAUUUUCAAAGACAGCUGCAAAAUUGCUCAACAAAACUAAUCCACAGGGAAUAAUAUUGAAAGGGACAUCGUCAGUCUGUGGUCCAGUGUAACCAUGCAUAACACAGACUCCACCAGGAUGGUUACAGAGAAUUUGAGGACACAAUAAAUUUGCAUAAUCUUGGAAAGCCUGAACCUUUCCAAUUUCAAAUCAGGUUACUUUUCUCUCCUUUAAAAGAGUAUAUAGAUUAAAUAA